AUCUCGAUAACUACUGCAGAUCAAUUUAAAUGUUUAAUGUUUAUUUGUAGACUACGUUCUCCAUCAGAUACUGACAUUAGAACUAAGUUAUUACACUUAAUUGAUAUUAAGUCAGACUCGCUUACCGUUCAAGAUUGACUGUGUGUUCGAAAAUAGAGUCAGUUACUGCCAGUAAAAACAGUGCUGUUGGCAGCAGUGAAAUUUACUGGUGCUGCGUUUCGUGUCUUCUAGCAGUAAAGCCAGUAAAAUAGCUAAGUAGUUCGAACGAUAAUUUUGAGGUUAAAAAGAAUUGUAGUAAGUAAUUCUUUUAGUGUUAUGGAUUACAAGUGUAAAAAAAUGAAGAGAUCUGUGCAAUUAAAAACUACUUUUCUACAUGAGAAAGUGGAUAAUAGCCAAUUGAUUGAUCUAAACUUAAUUGAUGAAUCAACAAAUGUAGAAUACAUUUUAAAAAUACAGAAAGAAGUGUAUAAUCGUGCGCAUAAUGAUGUGAUAUUUGCUACUACAUUAUUAGAAAAAGCAAAGACAUUACUUAAUUCUAAAGAUAUACAUAGGUCUGUUUCAUCAAUAAAUAUGGAAAACAUAAGUAGAUCAAACAUAACUGUAGGUUCUAAUGACACUAUUGAUACAACUUCUGACACUGAAAAUGUUUCAGACACACCAGAUACAGAAGAAAAUAAAGUAAAAUGGGGCCAUAAAGCAAUACUUCUCUUAUAUCUUUAUAUAAAGAAAAAUCAUAUAUGCUAGAAAAAGGUUCCCAUAAAAAAAUGUGGAUCAAAAUUUCUCAAUGCAUGAAAGAAAAGAAAUAUAAUUUUACAGACAGUCAAUGUAAUGAUAAAAUGGAUGCAUUAAAAAGACAAUAUCGUAAAAUUGUUGAUCAUAAUGCUCAAAGUGGAAACGAUAGAAAAGAAUGGAUAUAUUUAUCUAUAUUAGAUGAUAUUUUUCAAAAGAAACAUUGGAUAAAACCAUUAUCUGUAGCAGGAUCGCAUCUAAAAGAAUCCGAACAUUCACCUAUAACUGAUAACACUGACGAAAAUGAAUUACCAAUCAAGCAAAAAAAGAUCUCAUUAACUGAGGCAAAAGCAAAUUAUUUGAGACUUUUGUUAGAAGAAAAAAGGUUAAAAAGAGAAGAAACUGCUAAUUACAGAGCUACAAAGUUACACAAAUAUUAAGAGAAAUAAAAGAAGCAUUUAAAAACCAGAAACAACAAUGUGUACAAGAAGAAGAAGUGUAAAAAAAGCAAAAACGUUCGUGCAAAAAUCAUUAACCGUUCUAAUUUUUUUGUUGUAAUCAAAAGCU